CUGGAGAUGGCGACCGGCGCACGGGUGAGUAACACGUAUCCAACCUGCCGAUAACUCGGGGAUAGCCUUUCGAAAGAAAGAUUAAUACCCGAUGGCAUAAUAGAACCGCAUGGUUUGAUUAUUAAAGAAUUUCGGUUAUCGAUGGGGAUGCGUUCCAUUAGGCAGUUGGUGGGGUAACGGCCCACCAAACCUUCGAUGGAUAGGGGUUCUGAGAGGAAGGUCCCCCACAUUGGAACUGAGACACGGUCCAAACUCCUACGGGAGGCAGCAUG
rnacentral:rRNA from 1 species